AUAGAGACAUGUAUAUUGAGAAAGGGGUGGGUAUGGAGACAUGUACAUUGAGAAAGGGGUGGGUGUUGAGACAUGUACAUUGAGAAAGGUGUUGUUGUAAACAGUUGAGUGGGCAUAGUGAGAAAGGGCUUGGUAUACAGAGAAAGGGGAGCUAUAUAGAGAAUAGUGUGGGUCUACAUGGGAUGGGAAAGGGUGUAGGGGAGUACAGGGAGGUGGCGGUGUUAUUUAGAAGUGCCAUCAGCAUUAUACAGGAUGUCCCAGUCUAGGGAACAUCCAUCAUGUCAACUGGAGAACAAGUUGUUCUGGACACUGUGAUGCUAAUAUUGUGAUCAGGAGUGAGAUGAACUUGGUUUAUGGGCAAUAACUGUUUGAGAGAAAUCAGUUUUUCUUCUGAAGUUUUAGAAAAGUCUUUUCGUCCUGUAUUUUUUUAAAAUUCAAAUGACAGUUUUGAAAUUUAGAUGAUCUGACCAUGAAGAAGGCUGCAUAUGACAUAGCUAUUGCAUGGAUUUCCGGAGUUGUCUGUUCCAGGCCAAGAGGGUGGAGUGACAACCAACUGACCAGGUUGUCAGGAGUUACUCCACCCAAGAUGUCUGGCACAGGAACAAAGGGGAAGUAUGCAAUGGUGGAAUAAUCAAUCAUAAUCUAUGUCGGCCAUGGACAUUCUCCAAGAUAUACUGCUCACAGGCAUGGUAAUCAUUACUUGCAGAAAGAUCAAAAGGAAAUGGUGCAAUCACUUUGUGAUCGUUAGUAAACCUUGUACAUCAAGUCUGAAUACUCUGUACAUAAAUGUAUUGUUGUUGUUUUUAUUCUACAUAUAUUUUUCAAACCAUAAGAGCAGCAUUAUAAGAUCGCUGCAAGCAUUUCUGUGAUAUGGGGCUACCAUGAACAAUGGCAGUGGUCAGUUGCAACCAUAUAUGUUCUGCCAGAUUUAAUUUGUAUAAGGCAAAACAAGACUUUGUUGUAGAUUCUUUCUGAAACUGCAUUUUGCCAUCCUUAAAUGUAAGUUCAUAUCAAAAGUUUGUGGUUCUCUUGUUAUUAUUUGUCUUAUAAAGAAGGUCUUCUGUAUAUUCUGUUCCACUACAAGGCAGCCUCUGAAAAACUGGUUGUAACAAGAACAUCAUAAUGUAUCCAUAAAGUCUAUUGUUUCACAACAACCUAAAGGAUGAUGACGUCUUUCAUAGCUCUCUGUUUUUGAUAUAUCAGCUGACCUAUCCAUCUGUCUGUGUUGCUAACUUUAUUUCAAGGUAACUGAUAGCCUGUGGCUACAUCGUCUGUGUGUCAGAGCUCCUGUAUAAGAAUCCAUUACUAUUACUUGCAGUAUUACAUGUAUUUACAUACAUUCUUGUGUGCCAGCUCCAUCAGACCAUACUCAGGACCUGUACUCCUGAAUGGAAUCAGUUGAAUGAGCUGAAUUGAAUUGAACUUUUGAUAACCUGUCAUCAUAAAGUCAUUCAGUGGCAUAUUUGUCUUAAAACGUUUUCAGCCAUGAUCAUAUUUCUGUAAAAACGUUUUAUGAAACUAGUUUGAUUUCUUUUUUAUAUUAUUUUAAUAUCAAUAAACAUUUCAACAUGUC
rnacentral:lncRNA from 1 species